GCACUGCUGAGGAGUCCUACGAUAGGACGAAACGCCCGUCCAGUGU
rfam:Schistosoma curassoni strain Dakar, Senegal genome assembly, scaffold: SCTD_scaffold0001506